GUAGAGAGAAAAAAAGGUGUAUCACACAGGGGUUAUUACCCUGAUGAGAAUUUUCUGCUUUGGGGCAGAAAAUUGGCAGACCCCUGAGGCCCCCAGGAAGCAGGCCAGACUUCCCACGGGGGGCAGUAGGAGGCCAUGGCAGGGCCUAAGCAAAGGAUCCCCCAAUUCCUCAUCAGCUUCCUUCCUACCUGCUGAAAACUCACACCGACAGAUAAUGUAAUACCAAAUUUUCUCUCUCUCUUUCAGAUAAAUAAAAUAUUUAUUAAAAAAAAAAAAGACUUUUCUGCUCUACAAUCAAUGAGUUGGCCGCUAAACAAAUGAAAACAAACAAAAUCAAAAUAAACCAAGAGCUCUUGACUGUGGUUUGAAACCCACUUGAAAGAGGUCCUUUUGAAGCGCUGGAUCUCGGUCCAUUUAAAACAGCCACAUGUGACGUGUUAGACUUAGCUUGACUUUGUCCCUCAGCUGGGAAUCGGCCAUCAGGAAACACAUCAUUUUGAGUGAUCCGUAUGUGCUCAUGCUGCAACUGGGAUUGGGACUGGAUGCCAGGGAAGGGAAGAAGUCUACUCAUAGGAAGGCUGUGGUCUAGUCCGGAAGCGCUGCAAUAUUCACAAUUCAGAUGCUGGCCAGUGAAGCCAAUGACAUUAACUAUGUGUGAGGACAUCUCUUAUCUUAUAUCAACAAAAUUGGUUCUUCCUCUUCCUACUCAGGCAAAAGUCCCAGUGUUGAAAAGACAGGUGUGGAGUGCAUACCUGAAUUGUUCUUAGCCGUCUACACCUACGAGUCAGGUAUUUUUAAAUAUCACUAAUAUUUCUUCUUCUUCUUCCUCUUUUUUUUUUUUCUUUUUUUGCAAAAGAGCACUUGCUGCUUCUUUUAUGUGAGAAGAGCUUUGUUAACUAUGGGCCCAUCCACACGUGCACUGGACAGAACACCUCAGAAUGAGCAGAAGAGCUCAUUUAUAGGUUGUUUCUACUUUCCCCAAAUAGAUUUCAGUUUCCAACAGUCUCAUCCACUGUCGUCUUACUCGAAAGCAGCUGAUUUCUGUAAUCAUUUCUGUUGCCAUGGGGAAAAAAUAGUGUUAAAAUGUUUGUAACCGAAGCCCUACGUUUAGGGGAGCCAGCUGGUGUCGAGUUCUCCAGUUCUAGCCAACCCCUCCCCUUCUCCCAGAAGUCCCUUUGGGCGGCACAAGAGCACUGAGUUUACCUGGCACUCAUUAGUGUGUGACAAAGGACAUAUUUGCCACCUGGGAGAAAUCAAAUCACAAGUGCUAGGGAUGAAAAAUUUGAACACCAUUAUCCUACAAAUUUCCAGAAACUACACACACAGGAGAUGGGCUGCAGGUGCGUUUUGACUUUUUAAAUGUACAAUAAUUUUUU
rnacentral:lncRNA from 1 species